rnacentral:rRNA from 1 species
CGCUGGCGGCAUGCCUUACACAUGCAAGUCGAACGGCAGCACGGGAGCAAUCCUGGUGGCGAGUGGCGAACGGGUGAGUAAUAUAUCGGAACGUGCCCAGUCGUGGGGGAUAACGUAGCGAAAGCUACGCUAAUACCGCAUACGAUCUAUGGAUGAAAGCGGGGAUCGCAAGACCUCGCGCGAUUGGAGCGGCCGAUAUCAGAUUAGGUAGUUGGUGAGGUAAAGGCUCACCAAGCCGACGAUCUGUAGCUGGUCUGAGAGGACGACCAGCCACACUGGGACUGAGACACGGCCCAGACUCCUACGGGAGGCAGCAGUGGGAAUUUUGGACAAUGGGCGCAAGCCUGAUCCAGCAAUGCCGCGUGCAGGAUGAAGGCCUUCGGGUUGUAAACUGCUUUGUACGGAACGAAACGGUGAGCUCUAAUACAGUUUGCUAAUGACGGUACCGUAAGAAUAAGCACCGGCUAACUACGUG